ACUCCUGCGGGAGGCAGCAGUGGGGAAUUUUGGACAAUGGGCGAAAGCCUGAUCCAGCAAUGCCGCGUGAGUGAAGAAGGCCUUCGGGUUGUAAAGCUCUUUUGUCAGGGAAGAAACGGUGAAAGCUAAUAUCUUUUGCUAAUGACGGUACCUGAAGAAUAAGCACCGGCUAACUACGUGCCAGCAGCCGCGGUAAUACGUAGGGUGCAAGCGUUAAUCGGAAUUACUGGGCGUAAAGCGUGCGCAGGCGGUUUUGUAAGUCUGAUGUGAAAUCCCCGGGCUCAACCUGGGAAUUGCAUUGGAGACUGCAAGGCUAGAAUCUGGCAGAGGGGGGUAGAAUUCCACGUGUAGCAGUGAAAUGCGUAGAUAUGUUGAGGAACACCGAUGGCGAAGGCAGCCCCCUGGGUCAAGAUUGACGCUCAUGCACGAAAGCGUGGGGAGCAAACAGGAUUAGAAACCCCAGUAGUCCCAUGAU
rnacentral:rRNA from 1 species